rnacentral:rRNA from 1 species
CGAGUCCGAGGAGCUAAGGCUCCAAAGUGAUGCGAGUCAGACUUCCCAGAAACGCCCGAACCACGUUAAUUUCUAAUUACCUGUACCCGAAACCGACACAGGUGGGUAGGUAGAGUAUACUAAGGGGCGCGAGAUAACUCUCUCUAAGGAACUCGGCAAAAUGACUCCGUAACUUCGGGAGAAGGAGUGCCUUAUUUAUAAGGUUGCAAUAACAAGAUCCAAGCAACUGUUUAUCAAAAACACAGGUCUCCGCUAAGUCGUAAGACGAUGUAUGGGGGCUGACGCCUGCCCAGUGCCAGAAGGUUAAAGAAGUUGGUUAGUGUAUGCGAAGCUGAUGACUGAAGCCCUGGUGAACGGCGGCCGUAACGAUAACGGUCCUAAGGUAGCGAAAUUCCUUGUCGGGUAAGUUCCGACCCGCACGAAAGGCGUAAUGAUUUGGAUACUGUCUCGGAGAGAGGCUCGGUGAAAUAGACUUGUCUGUGAAGAUGCGGACUACCUGCACCAGGACAGAAAGACCCUAUGAAGCUUUACUGUAACUUGAAAUUGGAAUUGGACUUUGCUUGCGCAGUAUAGGCGGGAAGCGUUGAAGAUAUUCUUGCGGGAGUAUUGGAGCUAUCAGUGAGAUACCACUCUUGUAAUGUUAGAUUUCUAACUUUGAACCAUAAUCUGGUCAAAGAACAGUUUCAGGUGGGCAGUUUGACUGGGGCGGUCGCCUCCCAAAUGGUAACGGAGGCGUGCAAAGGUUUCCUCUGAACGGAUAGAAAUCGUAUCUAGAGUGUAAAGGCAUAAGGAAGCUUGACUGUGAGACCUACAAGUCGAGCAGGGACGAAAGUCGGUCUUAGUGAUCUGACGGUACUGAGUGGAAAGGCCGUCACUCAACGGAUAAAAGUUACUCUAAGGAUAACAGGCUGAUCUCCCCCAAGAGUUCACAUCGACGGGGAGGUUUGGCACCUCGAUGUCGGCUCAUCGCAUCCUGGGGCGGUAGUACGUCCCAAGGGUUGGGCUGUUCGCCCAUGAAAGCGGUACGCGAGCUGGGUUCAGAACGUCGUGAGACAGUUCGGUCCAUAUCCGGUGUAGGCGUUAGAAUAUUGAGAGGAGCCUUCUUUAGUACGAGAGGACCGAGAAGGACACACCGCUGGUGUACCAGUUAUCGUGCCAACGGUAAACGCUGGGUAGCUAUGUGUGGAGUGGAUAACCGCUGAAAGCAUCUAAGUGGGAAGCCCACCUCAAGAUGAG